GUCUUUUCGAGGUAGGAGUCGACUCCUGUGAGGUAUGGUGCUGGGUGCAGAUGCAGUGUGGCUCUGGAUAGCACCUUAUGGACAGUUGUGUCCCCAAGGAAGGAUGAGAAUAGCUACUGAAGUCCUAAAGAGCAAGCCUAACUCAAGCCAUUGGCACACAGGCAUUAGACAGAAAGCUGGAAGUUGAAAUGGUGGAGUCCAACUUGCCUGGACCAGCUUAAUGGUUCUGCUCCUGGUAACGUUUUUAUCCAUGGAUGACUUGCUUGGGUAUGGAGAGUCGGCUUGACUACACUGUGUGGAGCAAGUUUUAAAGAAGCAAAGGACUCAGAAUUCAUGAUUGAAGAAAUGCAGGCAGACCUGUUAUCCUAAACUAGGGUUUUUAAUGACCACAACAAGCAAGCAUGCAGCUUACUGCUUGAAAGACAGGGUCUUGCCUCACCCAAGCUAGAGUGCAGUGGCCUUUGAAGCUUACUACAGCCUCAAACUUCUGGGCUCAAGUGAUCCUCAGCCUCCCAGUGGUCUUUGUAGACUGCCUGAUGGAGUCUCAUGGCACAAGAAGAUUAAAACAGUGUCUCCAAUUUUAAUAAAUUUUUGCAAUCCAUCAAAAAAAAAAAAAAAAAA
rnacentral:sRNA from 1 species